AUAUGAAUUGCAGAUAUUCGUGAAUCAUCGAAUUUUUGAACGCACAUUGCGCCCUCUGGUAUUCCGGAGGGCAUGCCUGUUUGAGCGUCGUUU
rnacentral:rRNA from 1 species